CUUCAGCCUGCAGAGGGAAGAGAGAAGGGGCCCCCAAAAUAGAGCUUUAAAACCCUCCCUUGUCUUUUGUGACAGUACAAUUUACUGUUUCGUUUUGGUCUCUUAUCAGGAAGCCUUCUGAAUCAGUGCUCUAUUUUGAGCACAAAGUCAAGAUUUUUGUGGCCGCAGCCAAAGAUGUUCACGUGGAGAGCUGCUGAGCUGGCUUGUUGAUUCAGGCCCCGACGAUUCCUCAGGUCUUUCUGGGUAAGUGGGAAGGGGUUCAUCCAUAAAAGCUUUUUCUUGGCCUUUCUAUGCCUCUCCCACCCCGUCCACUUAGCAUUCCACUAGAGAGGACACCAAAUUGAAUUCACGCCAAGAAAAUGGACACGCUCCACAUACGUUGAGAGCUUUCCUGUAUUAAUAGCUUGCCCAGAGUCGACUGUCUCCCUGGGGGAUUUAAGUUUCUUCCCUUGUGAGUGUCUAUUUUUUCCUCUUUGUUCUUCCUCUCCCCUGGCCUUCUUACAGAAAUAACAGGGUCAUUGACAUGUAACGCAGUUAUAAAACCUGUGACGAGGCGCCCGUCUAGUGACAGCAGGGCCGAGCCAGCCGAUACCUCCGCGACCGAGUCCCCGUAACGUGAGUACCUCGCGCCAUCCCGUGUAACCCCCAGGACAAAUCUGCAAGAUAAGCUGUGCCAUCCUGAGUUUUCACAUGAGAAAAUGGAAGCUCAGAGAAGAUGAAUAUCCUUUGCCCAAAGAUCCAUGGUGAGUACAAGAGGUGAGCUUUAAACUCAGUCGUCUGUCUAGAGGGCUCUAGUAUUCCGCUCUGUGUACUUUGACGGUAAGUAGAGAGACACCCAGACCUCCUUCUUCUUGGCCCCAAGUUCUUUUACCAGACUGGGUUUGGUGCCCCGAUUGUAUAAGAACGUAUUGCCUUUAGCAUCUCUUUCCCCUUGUGGCUGCUACCUCAGCAACCCCAUCGAGCAGGAAAGCAAACAUGUUCAAGAUUUCACUCAGCUUGGCCGUUCGAUCUCUCCGCCAUGUGUGGGCUGAACCUCUUUGGGACCAACGCUGGGCAGGGUCGCCAUGUCCCCGCUGAGACGGCCAGGUGGCUACAGUACUCGGUAGCCCUGCGUCCUGCCCUCUCCUACAGUUUCCAAUCUCAUUUGGCUCCUUGUGAAUUAUGUGACAUCUGAGCCUGUGAGACCAGGUGUUCCCGCCCCCUCAGGGGACCUGAAAGGCAGCCCUGGGGCAUGAGCCCUUCGUGGGGGGACCGUUAGACCAUUUCCGACAAGCACCUAACAAGACAUCUCCUGCAGCCGAGUCAGCCCUCCCUACUCCCGGGCAGUCACCGAAGCCAUGUGCCCUGGUGGGUUCUUAUAGAAGCAUCCACACCAGUCCAUCUGAGGACCCUAUGGGCCUGACCCCCACAUAGGAUUGAUGCAAAGUGGCAGGGAGUUGAAGACCCCAGGCAUAACCUUGAACUCAUGAACCCACAGAAGUUGGUAAAUUAAGGUCCUGGACACUUUGACCCUCGGGUGGGACAAGGCUAAGGUGUGUUGUCCACUUUCCACCCAUCUCAAGACCAACGGGGUUGAUCCAGCACUGUCCAUGGCAAUGACUUCAGUAAAACACCCCACGUUGGCUUGCUUCUCUUCUGUCUUACUUGCGCUCCUUAUCAGGGCUUGCUGGGAACAGCCCCUAGUACAUUCCUUGGACUCAGACCCUAGUCUCAGGGUGGACUUGGGAGGAACUGACCUUGGACACCCCCCAAGCCCCCUUCCCUGUAUCCCAAGUGCAGCCAGCAUACUGCUGGGCUCUCUCAGGGAAUGCCGUUGACAGAGUUGAGGGCAGUCGUCCCUGGGCCCCCGCUUAGACUUUUCCAUGCCAGAAACCUAUUGUUCCAGCCAGACGGCAUCCAUCAGGAGCUCCUGGAGGACACAGGAGGUAGGGAUCAGGGUGGGACACCAGAAAUGUCAGUGAAUUUCUAUUGCAAUGUGUCCACACUGAAAGAGGUUCCAACAGAAGGUCUCCUGUUCCAACUCUAAGCCAGAUGAGGCUCUUCAACAAAGAGGGUCCUCUAUCCACCCAGAGGGCAUCUGGAUUAUUGCAGAUUGACAAUGUUUCAGAUGAGAAAGAACAGUAAGAUGUUUCUUUUUCCUCCUUGAACUCCCUUCCUUCUCUAUCCCAGGUCGUAUGUUCCAUUAAGUCAUCUGGAUGAUUUCUGGGGAGGCACGGGACUCCAACGUCAUGCACCCCACUUCUGCUGGCCAACACUUGGGGACCGCCGGGUCCUGACCUCAGCACACUGGAUGGUGGAGUGGGUGACUGUGUGCGUCCGUUUCCUCCAGCGAACACGGCAUCCGGGAGCGAGAGCGUUCACUUUGUCAAAGGUUCAGAAAUAACAGAAGUAAAACCAGUGAAUCACCGUGGUAGCAAUCAGUAAAAGUUUAUCAUGCACACACCAAAAAGGAAGUUUGCAAACCGGGAGCACUCAAACCGGAAGGUAGCGUGAGGCUCGGGGGUGGAUUCUUAUAAAGCAGCUCAUAUGGUGAGAAGGCAGUGGCUGUGUGUUCUUCCAGGGUUUGGUCCUAACGCUAGAAUUUUCUUAAGUCAUAGGGAAUUGGUCAGUGGUUACCUCAUACCAACCUUGGGAAACAGUUCAAGUUUUGCUUGUGACUUCCAGAGGCGCAAGCAAAGGACUGACCCAGGUCCAGUCAGUCUUGCAAAAUAAUCUAAAUUAAGCUUUGUUUGUAUGACCAAAGUGGUUUCCUCUGCUCAGGGCAUUUUCACGGCUGUGUUUUUUAUUCAACGGCCUCCUCCCUCAUGGAUCAGAGGUGGGCACGUGACGCCCUGAGACCCAGGGCGGCCUCUCCCAGAACCCCUGGGAAACAGCUCUUCAGGCUCCUCCAUGGAUCCCCAGGGCCUGGGCCGCCAUAUUGGUACGCUUGGCCAAGGACCUGGGAAUGGAUCUCCAGGGGAGGCAGAACCACAGGGAGUCCUUGUGCUGUGAGCAAUGGAACCUGCCUGUUCUCCUCCUCCUUUGCAACAAUGGAGCCUUUCCUUUCCUGUCCUUGCUUACUCCAGUUUUGACCAAGGUUUCCAUCACAUGUGGCAAAGAAUCCUAAGUGAUCACGUGGAAGGGAGAAGUCUUCUUAACCUGUGUUUGUACCAGGACCAGAGAUCCUUCUCCACAGUCGCCGUGGCCCGGUGUUGUCUAUGAGGCCAAAGCGUGUCGCCGCUGGGUGCCCCUCAGCAUGUGUGUAGAAUAUUGGAAGUCCUCCUGGGCUGUGGGAGCGCAUUGGCUCCUCAGAAGGGGACGACAGAACUUACCGGAAUUUGUCCUUGAGAUGCCCAAGGGUCUGAGUCGGACAUGCUGAGGUUUUAUCCCCAAAGUUAAGAUUUCAUUCGCAAAUAAGUUUAUACAAAAGCACUAGGGGACGGUACACUUUAAAUCCAAGCACAAAAUAUAUCCAGUUUAGUAAACUGGGACCCAUAUUUUGAAAAGAAGGAGAAAAUAUUCCACUGGAAACAAAGGAAUUCAAAUAUACAAAGUGAUGUUUACCCACCAGUUGAUUUUGAAAGGUUAGAGACGUGGCCUUUUUUACAUGGAAAUAUACUCUUACCACAUCAUUUAAAAAAUUCCUUAGCCUCUCUUCAGCCUUUUAUUAUGAAAUAUUCAACCUACAGAAAAGUUGCAAAAAUAAUCGGAUGAAUGUCUACGUAUCCUUCACCUAGAUUAACCAAUUGCUAAUGUUUUUCCGUACUUGUUCCAGAUCCAUCGGUAUGUGACACACACAUGCCUAUGUCCGCAGGCAAAAAUUACACACACACACACACACACACACAUUCACACACACGCUCUCGCACAUACGCUCACAUAAGUACUUUUUCUGAUGGACAAUCUGAGAGUUAAUUGCAGACAUCAUGACACCUCACCACCGAAUACUUUAGCAUCUGUCUCCUAAAAAAAAAAAUCAAUUAAUUGCCACACUCAGGAAAGUUAACACUGAAAUAAUGCCGUUACCUAAAUAGAUGGUCCGUAGUCACAUUUUUCUGUUUGUGCUGAUAAUGUCCUUCGGGGCUGGGGUUUGCUGCUGUUGCUUUUUGUUCUUGUAUUUUUCUAAAUCUGGGAUCCAACCAAAUAUCAUGCAUUCAUUUAUUAAUAUUUUACUUUUGAA
rnacentral:lncRNA from 1 species